rnacentral:rRNA from 1 species
UUAAAGCGGUACGCGAGCUGGGUUUAGAACGUCGUGAGACAGUUCGGUCCCUAUCUGUAGCGGGCGAAGGAGAUUUGAGAGGAUCUGCUCAUAGUACGAGAGGACCUGAGUGGACGAGCCUCUAGUGUACCAGUUGUCGUGCCAACGGCAGUGCUGGGUAGCUAUGCUCGGAAAGGAUAACCGCUGAAAGCAUCUAAGCGGGAAACCUGCCUCAAGAUUAGAUCUCCCGAACGUAAGUUCCUGAAGACCCCUUGAAGAUUACAAGGUUGAUAGGCUCAGGGUGUAAGUUCCGCGAGGAAUUAAGCUGAUGAGUACUAACCGGUCGUGAGGCUUACUGCG